rnacentral:misc_RNA from 1 species
UGGUUCUGGCAUCGAUGAAGAACGCAGCGAAAUGCGAUAAGUAAUGUGAAUUGCAGAAUUCAGUGAAUCAUCGAAUCUUUGAACGCACAUUGCGCCCGCUAGUAUUCUAGCGGGCAUGCCUGUUCGAGCGUCAUUUCAACCCUCAGGCCUUGCUCUGCCUGGUGUUGGGGCCUCUACGGCGCCUCGCGCGCCGUAGGCCCUCAAGGUCAGUGGCGGGCUCGCUACGGCUCCGAGCGCAGUAGAUUUACUUUUUCUCGCUUUGGAGGUCCGCGGCGGGCGACCGGCCGUUAAGACGAAGUCGCUCCCCCACCCGCUGUGGGAGGGGGGAGGCUUCACCCACACAAUAUGGUUGACCUCGGAUCAGGUAGGAUUACCCGCUGA